GGAGGGUGCAAGCGUUGUUCGGAAUUAUUGGGCGUAAAGAGCGUGUAGGCGGUUCGGUAAGUCAGAUGUGAAAGCCCUGGGCUCAACCCAGGAAGUGCAUUUGAAACUACCAGACUUGAGUACGGGAGAGGAGGGGGGAAUUCCCGGUGUAGAGGUGAAAUUCGUAGAUAUCGGGAGGAAUACCAGUGGCGAAGGCGCCCCUCUGGACCGAUACUGACGCUGAGACGCGAAAGCGUGGGGAGCAAACAGGAUUAGAUACCCUGGGUAGUCCACGCCGUAAACGAUGAGCACUAGGUGUAGCGGGUAUUGACCCCCCUGCUGUGCCGUAGCUAACGCAUUAAGUGCUCCGCCUGGGGGACUACGGUCGCAAGACUA
rnacentral:rRNA from 1 species